rnacentral:rRNA from 1 species
CCUACGGGAGGCAGCAGUGAGGAAUAUUGGUCAAUGGCCGCAAGGCUGAACCAGCCAAGUCGCGUGAGGGAUGACGGUCCUAUGGAUUGUAAACCUCUUUUGUCAGGGAGCAAAGGACGCCACGUGUGGCGCUUUGCGAGUACCUGAAGAAAAAGCAUCGGCUAACUCCGUGCCAGCAGCCGCGGUAAUACGGAGGAUGCGAGCGUUAUCCGGAUUUAUUGGGUUUAAAGGGUGCGCAGGCGGAAUGUAAAGUCAGCGGUAAAAUUUCGGGGCUCAACCCCGUCGUGCCGUUGAAACUGGCGUUCUUGAGUGAGCGUGAAGUAUGCGGAAUGCGUGGUGUAGCGGUGAAAUGCAUAGAUAUCACGCAGAACUCCGAUUGCGAAGGCAGCAUACCGGCGCUCAACUGACGCUCAUGCACGAAAGCGUGGGUAUCGAACAGGAUUAGAUACCCUGGUAGUC